rnacentral:lncRNA from 1 species
UUAACUGUGCUAAUCUUCUAUCACUUUCAUUCCAAUCCAUUUCUGGUUUGGGUAUGAUAGCGCCCUCUAUAUUAAGUGUGGGUGUGUGAGGUCCUCUAGUAAUGAUGUACCAUAAUUCAUAGUCUAAAGCUUAAAUGAAUAUCCUCAUCCUAGCUUUCCAGUAUGUGUAGUUUGUGCCAUUAAAUAGAGGUCUAUUUGUGGAUUGCCCCUCACUCAUAGAACAUCCCACUUGGGUUGUCAUGAUCUUUAACUCUUGAUUGUGAGAUCAAUAAGUACUAUUGGAGCACCUUGCUCUGAUACCACUUGUUGCCCAAGGUGACAAGCCAAGAGGGGGGGUGAAUUGGUUUCUCUUAUUUUUAACUAACUUACUUAUGUUAAUUGAUGAGUUAGUGAAAUAAACAAAUCACAAUACAAACAAUAAGAAGUAUAGUGGUUCGGUGCUCUCCUUAGCACCUACGUCCACUCCCCAAGCGACCCCUUGGGAAUUCACUAUAAUCCCGCGGAUUACAGUUGAAUU